GUUAACUAGGUACGCUAUUGUAUGCAUUUUGAGAAAAUGUGUCUAGUAAAACUUACCCCACGUCUCCACUAGUCUGAAAUGUCUUGCCAUUUUGCUGCCAGAAAGAGAAAACCUAACAGAAAUGAUCAACACCGGAGCUUUUCAUGCAAACAGCGAGAUAACAUUUCUGUCAUGACACAUCUGUCCAGCAAAAUGGCAAGACAUUUCUGUCUAGUGGAGACGUCGGGUUAGUAUCAAGAAGAAUUAUGGAAUUCUGAUGUAUUCUGUGUAAAAAUACACAAGCGAUAGACGUAUAACUGUCUUAUGUUAAAAAUUCUUCAGAGCUUAUAGGGUAGUGAACCACUUGGGCAGCGGCCGGUAUUUUGGGCACUUUUAGCUAUAACUCAGUCAAUUCCAAACUAAUUGACUUGGAAUUUUGUACACUGCUAGGUACUAUACGCAUCUCAUUGCGUUUCAAAUAUUGUGUCAAUUGGUUCAGAAUUGGCUGAGUUAUAGCAGAAAAGUGCCCAAAAUAGGACCCCUGCCGAGAUGGUUCUAUUUCCCUACCUUUGGGCAGCGUAUUUCGGUGCAAUGGAGGUACUUUUCUGUUAAUAGCUGAAGAAGCUCUCACUAAAAUAAGAAGUAUACAAUAAACUUUAUCCCUACAGGAUAAGUCAAAAUGAAAAAGUUCGAUAGCAGGAAAGGGAACACUCACUUUCAAAAGAUUUUAUUUACUUGCUACUGUUUACUGUGUCGAUUUAAGAGCUUUGUAUCAAACCUGGCUUACCUCUUGUACCGACUUUUCAACCCUCUAGGGGUCGAUUUCUUCACCUUGGCUUUACCGGUAAGCCAGGUUUACCCAUAUAGUUAAACCUGGUUUAACGCUUAAGCCUUGGUGAAGAAAUCGGCCCUAAGCAAAAUACCCUCUUCGAAUGAGUGUAAUCAGUUAUUGUACCAUUCAAUUUCGCCCUCUUUUGUCUUUUCCCAUAGUGAAUCCUACGCAAACUUUGAACCGCUUGCGCUGGAUUGUGGUUUCACCGAUUGCGCUGAAAUUUUGCACAGUUCAUAUGGGACCUGAUGGAGUCCAAAAAGUCGACUGGCGCGAGAAUUUGAUUUUAGUCCCAUGCUACUGUGCAUGCAUCGCUCCUGUAAGGGAGGAGUAUGGCAGCAUAAUCGAUCGUGUUCGCUAUGAGCCAUUUUACGAGACGUUUCGGAUCAGCUGAUCGCUAAUUUCAUGAAUGAAAAUUUGACAGGAGGUCGCGCCCAAGCUCGUUAGUGUUAAUAUCAAUAUCAACACUGUUGUCGUUUCGUAAAAUAGACUAUUGUAGGAGGCGGGGCAGUAUGGACACCCUAAGGUUUUGCCAACUUUACCUGGCAAGAUGCCACACUUAUAUGAAAAACAAAAAUUAUGAAAAAUGCCAAGUCUUACCUCCUAAAUCAGUUGUUUUGAACUCCCAGAAGCUACGUUUAAAAUUUGAGCAAAAUUGGUUGAGUCUAAGGGGGCGCUCAAAUCGCUUGAAAUUUGUAUGGGAAAACUUGAUCAAAUGUAUGCAGAAAUUUUAAGUUUUCGAAUUUUGCCGCUAGAUGGCGCUGUAAGCGUUCAAUAAUCAAACCCUUUGGUAUUAGUGUAGGUGACUAUAUGCCAAACAACUUUUUUGCCGUUUUUCUUUAUUAUCCAGUUCCAACCUGGGUUGGAACUGGAUCAGAUCACAGUUUCAACCCAAACCCGAUUUCGGUUUUGCUUGUACUAAAGUUUGUUUGACGUUGUUUGUUUACACAUUAUCCGCCAAUCCAGUUCCAACCCAGGUUAAAAAAGAAAAACGACAAAGUGAAGACCGCAAAGUGAUCCAACGUCUGUGAAAAAAGUUAUACUCUAGGUAAUGAGGAUAAUCUUUAUUGUUGUUUUUCCAAUACAUGUAAAGCAGGGGUUCCCAACCUUUUUGUGCUGGCGACCCCCUUUAAGAAUUGUCGAAACAUCUGGGGCCCAAUGAUUUUUUUUUUGGAAAAAAAAUGAAUUAAAUGAACAAAACCGAGUUUAUUUUUGGGUACAGUGACGUAGCCAGAAAUUUACUGUGGGAGGGGUUUUCACUCACAUUUCGUAAACAAUGAUGUCAUGUACAUUCAAUUUGAGUUAUAGCUGAAAAAUAGCGGCGUAGCCGAAAAUUUUUUCAUCUGAAGGCGUUUUAUACUGAAAAUUUGUUCCUAAAAUUGUCGCUUUUGGGGUUGGCGGUAUACAAAAUUAACAAUUGGUAUAAUUUGCACAAAAUAGAAUAAAAAAAUUAACAAGUUUUUGGUAACAUCGCGGCCCCCUUGGACUGGCUUCACGGCCCCCCAGGGGGCCGCGGACCACCGGUUGGGAACCCGUGUGCUAGUAAGUCUCUUCGGCUGGAAACAUCGUCGGAAUCACCAACAAAACCUUCGAUUCUUCAUCGUCUUCUAUAGAGUACGGUAAUGAGUUCUCGUCAAAUUUGAUAUCACGUUAAACAAAGAGCUUCCUCGAUUUCCUAUCCCAGAGCAGAGCCUUGGACCAUAUGUACUCCGAUGUAUCUGAGUCAAUCACAAUUAGUCUCACCUUCCUCAUCAGCUUAUGGACGAAUCUCUCUGCAAAAUCAUUCUACUGCAGAAAAUACACUAUGAAUAGUUGAAUUUAUAGAAUUCAUUUGAACAAUAUUCCCUUCCUUGAUUUACAGUUAUUUUGCUGAUCCGUUUCCCAAAUUGAGCAGCAACAAUCGCUUCAUAACACUUUGGACGGGAUCUGUAGACUCGCAGACUUCUGAGUGUAUCCGCUCCGGUAAACGUUCAGCUCUUUCUUUUGAUUUUUUUCUUUUGAAGGCGUUUUAUACUGAAAAUUUGUUCCUAAAAAUGUGGCUUUUGGGGGUGGCGGUAUACAAAAUUAAAAAUUGGUAUAAUUUGCACAAAAUAGAAUAAACAUUUAAAAAUCUUUUGGUAACAUCGCGGCCCCCUUGGACUGGCUUCACGGCCCCCCAGGGGGCCGCGGACCACCGGUUGGGAACCCGUGAAUUAGUAUAUUGUGAGGCAAGCACAAUGAUACACUAUGCCCAGGGAGUCGAGAAAAUUUUCCCGACUGGAACGGGAAUCGAACCCGCCGUCUCCAGAUUGGCGAUCCAUACACCCAAAAUAAUAUUCACCUUAGGUUUACGUGAAAGCAUACAUAGAUUUUUUCCACUGUAUUUUUCACGUAAAAUCAACUUGGGGGUCAGGUAAUGCAAAGCCAGCCAGAUCCUAGUUCAUUGUAAAAAGUUGUCAGAUAACAAAUACGUGGUUUUCCAGUUUAUCUUAAACAGAUGCCAGAUUAUCAUAACAUGAACCUCCAAUAAUUACCACUGGAUUUUACUGAUAUUAUUUAUCAUCAUGGAAUAUUUUGUUAUUCAUUUCACCCGGAUUAAUACACUUGAUAAAUAAACGCAUUCAGUUUAUUGAGCAGUUUAUAAAUAAAAAGAAAACAAAAUAAAUAAACACUUAUUCUAAUCACAAAUUCUUCUCGCUUUUUCUGCAUGUAACAAACCGGACGCCACCGCGCUUCCAAUAAGUCUUGAAGCGUACUUCCGUUGAGCAUCAGUUGUGCAUUCUGGGUUGUCUAAAAAUAAAUAGAACUAAUGAAUAAUUAAUUUAUUUGAAAACCAAAUAGUUUACGCACGAGAACGUUUCGUUUUCUCCGCGAGCUGAUACGCGCAAAAAGUAUCUCGUACGAUCAAUCCGUACCCGCUCGCUCCAAGUACUUCCAAAUCCUGCAGGGACAGCGUCAACAGAUUAUUAAGUCCAAUAUCACACUCUGGAAUAAUGAACUACCUGCAUCGGCUGCGGACACAUUUCACCGCGAGAGGCGCUUCAUGCAUCGCUUCAACCCUAUCGGAAACAAAUGGAAUCAAUCGAAUGUUCCACUAAACUCCAACAGAUGGCGACUCUAUAGCGUAAACAAGUCUACCGUGAGUGCACCAAGCUCAGGAACACAUUAUUUUUAGUGUUUGCUACUGAUUGAACUUCAAAAAUAAAUAAAAAUAUAUUUCAGCGCAUUGUUUUAUAUUUGAAUGUUAUUUAUUUUAUAGAAAACAUGCGCUUUAUGUAGAAUUUCAAUUCUAAAUGAAUAUUUCAAAUUAAUAAAUAUUCCAUCGUGUGCCAAAUAUGGGUGCAGUACGGUAAAGCUGCUGAUAGAAACAUUUUGACAGCUCAGAUCAACACCACAAGCACAACAGUUCGCGUUUACGAAGCCGGGAAACACUCUUUUUUCCUACGGGGUUUUUUUAUGGGAGUAUGAGAAAAACAAAGCAAAAAAUCUUCCCUCCUUCACUUUCUCACAGAAAACCGCAAACAAAAUCAGCACCUUCGUAGUCCCCAGUAGUCGCGGUCGUGAGCUCAGACGUUCGACUUUUGUUUGGAUUCGCGGGAUAUUUUACAAAGAAAGUUAGUGAUUUUGUGUAAUGAGAAUGUCACAGCGAUAAGAAGUGAUACGGUGCCUUCCGGUGGAUAUGAUGAGGGAUUCAUUCCGCCGCUGGAGACGGUGGAUAUUACCUUCGGUCUGCGAAUGAUGUCCUGAAGGAAACCAACAAGAAUCAGAAGUUUCCGUAGGAGAAUAUCAGAUUGUUCCUCCUGGAAGUCAAACAAGAGCUGGAAAAGUAGACUCAGGAUCGCUUCAUGGAACAAGUUCUGACAGCACAAAGUGAACAUGAAGUUGUUCCAAGUGAGAUGCGGAACUAUUGCAGGAGUUCGCCAACAUUACACCAAGCUAUGUCCGAGAAUUUUGGAAUAUUACACGGAUAGGACUCACCGGUGGAAUCUGUGGACGUGGUAUGCAGAUACGAGAAACACACCAACUUUCGCCACCAGAUCUGGAGUAGGAAAGCUCAUGUUAAUGGACGCAAAGAUGAUCGCUUCAGUUGACGCGUUGGAAAAGUGGUGCAGUGCGCGAGAUCGUGUUGAAGAGUGCGACGGUUUCUUAAAAGCAUUCGCCGUACUUAGAACACGGAUUGAAGGCAAAUUCAGUCGGCUGGAAUGUGCAUUGGAAGAAAAGGCAGCUGUUAUUUGCUAAGAAACCCUGAGAGGCGUUGUUUGACCCAGCUUAUAGAACGGACUAGAUUAGACACGCGGCAUGAAGAUAUAUUUUUAUUAUUUUAUAUUUUCAAACCAAAUACACUGUACACCUCAAA